rnacentral:rRNA from 2 species
GACGAACGCUGGCGGCGUGCCUAAUACAUGCAAGUCGAACGCAAUCUUUUAACAAUGAGUGCUUGCACUCAGCGUUUUAAGUGCGAGUGGCGAACGGGUGAGUAACACGUGGGCAAUCUGCCCNAAAGUGGGGGAUAACACUUGGAAACAGGUGCUAAUACCGCAUCAACCGACUGACCGCCUGGUCGGUCGGGCAAAGACGGCGUCAGCUGUCGCUUUUGGAUGAGCCCGCGGCGUAUUAACUAGUUGGUAAGGUAACGGCUUACCAAGGUGAUGAUACGUAGCCGAACUGAGAGGUUGAUCGGCCACAUUGGGACUGAGACACGGCCCAAACUCCUACGGGAGGCAGCAGUAGGGAAUCUUCCACAAUGGACGCAAGUCUGAUGGAGCAACGCCGCGUGUAUGAAGAAGGUCUUCGGAUCGUAAAAUACUGUUGUCAGAGAAGAACACGGGAUAAAGUAACUAUUGUKCCGCUGACGGUAUCUGACCAGCAAGUCACGGCUAACUACGUGCCAGCAGCCGCGGUAAUACGUAGGUGGCAAGCGUUGUCCGGAUUUAUUGGGCGUAAAGGGAACGCAGGCGGUCUUUUAAGUCUGAUGUGAAAGCCUUCGGCUUAACCGGAGAAGUGCAUUGGAAACUGGGAGACUUGAGUGCAGAAGAGGAGAGUGGAACUCCAUGUGUAGCGGUGAAAUGCGUAGAUAUAUGGAAGAACACCAGUGGCGAAAGCGGCUCUCUGGUCUGUAACUGACGCUGAGGUUCGAAAGCGUGGGGAGCGAACAGGAUUAGAUACCCUGGUAGUCCNCGCUGUAAACGAUGAAUGCUAGGUGUUGGAGGGUUUCCGCCCUUCGGUGCCGCAGUUAACGCACUAAGCAUUCCGCCUGGGGAGUACGAUCGCA